rnacentral:rRNA from 1 species
UACGUAGGUGGCGAGCGUUGUCCGGAUUUACGGGGCGUAAAGAGCGCGCAGGCGGUCGAUUUAGUCGUGUGUGAAAGCCCCCGGCUCAACUGGGGAGGGUCACGCGAUACUGAUCGACUCGAAGGCAGGAGAGGGUAGUGGAAUUCCCGGUGUAGUGGUGAAAUGCGUAGAUAUCGGGAGGAACACCAGUGGCGAAGGCGACUACCUGGCCUGUUCUUGACGCUGAGGCGCGAAAGCUAGGGGAGCAAACGGG